rnacentral:rRNA from 1 species
UACGGAGGGUGCAAGCGUUAAUCGGAAUUACUGGGCGUAAAGCGUGCGCAGGCGGUUUGUUAAGUCCGCUGUGAAAUCCCCGAGCUCAACUUGGGAAUUGCAGUGGAUACUGGCAAGCUGGAGUAUGGUAGAGGAAGGUGGAAUUCCCGGUGUAGCAGUGAAAUGCGUAGAGAUCGGGAGGAACACCAGUGGCGAAGGCGGCCUUCUGGACCAAUAC